GUUUACGCUGUUACUUUCGAUUUCAAAAUGAAAACUCUAUCUCCGACUUUAAGGUUGACAUCACCACCAUGGAUGCAGUGAUUGUCCCACUGUGGACACUAGGGCAUUUUCUGCUUAGUGGUUGUUGCGCAACAAUUGAUGCCUGGCACCUGGGCCGAGGAGACUGGCUUGGACAUUGAGGGUGUUCCACAACAACUAAUAUGGCAUCGACUGUGGAGUCUUUAUGGUCAUGUACUCCUGGUACAUUACCAUGGACGCGCACUUCGAUUUCAACGUUUUGGAUAUGCCUCAUCUCAGGAGGUGGUGGUGCAAGCUCCUUUUGGACAACUACGGGAUUGAAGGGUAUGGAUCUUAA